GGGUGAUGCAAAAGUGGAAGGAGAGGUUUCGGAAACUGUGACGCUGUGCUUUGUCAGCACAGGGUGGAAGACAGGGGGCUGGGAGACUGCUGCUGCUGCUGCUGCUGAAGGGACCCGGAGAACAUUAAGGUCUCACAUGUGACAGAUCUUGAUAUGAGGGAGGCUUUCUGGCACCAAAUCUUGUGGAUCAAUAAACUUUGGCCGAGACCCCAUCACAACAUCCCGGUCAUUUGCUGCAGAAGACAAGGUUACCAUGGGGACGUACUCAACAGGUGGAGAGAGAAAACGUCCCCGUCCUGGCGCUGGCUGCCAGUUGAUGCCGUUCCUCUGAUCCCUCGGAUGUUGCCACAGGCUUGGCACGCUUGGUUGUCCAGGUGAUGGCAACCGUGGAGACAGAGGGCCUGACCGGUCUUGGCCCACUCUGUUACGCCAACUGUGCCAACUUACCGUCAACUGGACGCUAAACAUCAGCGACACAGGCCACGCCUUCCUCUGCUGCAAACCUGAAAACAUAUCAACCAAAAGGGUACACAGCCAUUUGAAAUCAGAUUGGCCACCCUCAAAUCCAAGCACAUUAGAAGGAAGACUGUUGAAAUAACCGACCCGGCAUCAGCGGGGUAGGGGGUUUAUUUAGCUGCUGGUGGGCUGUACGGAGCACAGAGAAGAGAUUUGCAGAGACAGCCCAUAACAGUUCCCUUGGAUCCAAUGACUCAGAUAUGCAGAUGUGUUUACUUCCCUUCUGUAUCCCACCUCAACCAGCACACAAAAGGCAGGGGGAAUAAAAGUGCCUGAUAAUGUC